rnacentral:rRNA from 1 species
AGGAUUCCCUCAGUAACGGCGAGUGAAGCGGGAAAAGCUCAAAUUUGAAAUCUCCAAGGGCAACCUUGGCGAAUUGUAGUUUAAAGAAGGGUUCGUUGAGAGCAGUCACUGUCCAAGUCUUCUGGAAAGGAGCAUCAGAGAGGGUGAGGAAUCCCGUAUCUGGCAGUGAGUCACUGUUUUCUAUACAGGGCCUCYUCAAAGAGUCGGGUUGUUUGGGAAUGCAGCCCCAAAAUGGGUGGUAAAUUUCAUCUAAAGCUAAAUACAGGCACGAGACCGAUAGCGUACAAGUACCGUGAGGGAAAGAUGAAAAGCACUUUGAAAAGAGAGUGAAAAGCACGUGAAACCGUUAAAAUGGAAACGAUUAAAGUCAGCAGUGUUUGGUUUGCAAUCAAUCUUCGUUGCGGUGCCGUAGUUGGUGGUUAGUUAGAGGCCGUCAAAAGCUCGAUAACUGCUCUAAUGCAAGCAUCAUAAUAAGGACGUACUUGUGGAUCUGAACAGGUCAACAUCAGUUUGGCGAAGUGGGGUAAAAUGUAGAGGAAGGUGGCUUGACCGCAAGGUUGAGUGUUAUAGCCUUUGCAUCGAGACACUUCUUAGACUGAGGAAAAAAUCAAAAGGUAUAUGCCCUUGUGGCUGAUGGGUGUUGAGCAUGGUGUUCCCUUCUUUGUCGAGUUUACAGCGUCAAAAACUGUGGCACGAUGUAUGGUUUGGAUGCUAGCGUUUGGCGCUUUUUUCAUUGUAUACCCAGCGAUGUUGGCGAAAUGGCUUUAACCGACCCGUCUUGAAACACGGACCAAGGAGUCUAACAUAUGCGCAAGUCUUAGGGUGGUAAACCCGAACUUAUUAAAAAGGAGGCGAAAUGAAAGUAAAGUCAGUCUUUGGGCUGAUGAGGUGAGAACUUUUUCGACAAGAGAUUGUGCAUCAUCGACCGAUCUGGAUUAUUCUUUGAAAGAUUUGAGUAAGAGCGUAUCUGUUAGGACCCGAAAGAUGGUGAACUAUGCCUGAAUASGGUGAAGCCAGAGGAAACUCUGGUGGAGGCUCGUAGCGGUUCUGACGUGCAAAUCGAUCGUCAAAUUUGGGUAUAGGGGCGAAAGACUAAUCGAACCAUCUAGUUGCUGGUUCCCACCGAAGUUCUCUUAGGAAUAGUUUAUCGGGUAAAGCGAAUGAUUAGAGGAUUUAGGGGUGAAACAUCCUUAACCUAUUCUCAAACUUUAAAUAGGUAAGAGGUUUAACUUGCUUGAAUUUCAAUGAAGUUGGACAUACGAAUGUGGAAUUCCUAGUGGGCCAUUUUUGGUAAGCAGAGCUGGCGAUGCGGGAUGAACCGAACGUUAAGUUAAGGUGCCAAAAUCAACGUUCAUCAGACCCCACAAAAGGUGUUGGUUGAUCUAGACAGCAGGACGGUGGCCAUGGAAGUCGGAACCCGCUCAGAAGUGUGUAACAACUUACCUGCCGAAUCAACCAGCCCUGAAAAUGGAUGGCGCUUAAACGUUGUACCGAUACUUGACCGCUGGAUCGUAAAUGCGAAGCGACAGCGAGUAGGUGGGCGUGGAGGUGGUGGCGAAGCCUAGACCGAGAGGUUGGGUGGAACUGCCUUUAGUGCAGAUCUUGGUGGUAGUAGCAAAUAUUCAAAUGAGAACUUUGAAGACUGAAGUGGAGCAAGGUUCCAUGUGAACAGCAGUUGGACAUGGGUUAGUCGAUCCUAAGAUAUGGGGAAACUCCGUUUGAAAGUUGUGCGGACUUGUUGGAAUGCAGGAUAAUUGAGAGCACGCAAGUGAGGGAAAGAAUCUUUGGUUUAACAGGAUACACUAAACGCACCACCUCAUCGAAAGGGAAAUAGGUUAAUAUUCCUAUACCAGAAUGCGGAUAUUGAAGGUGGCGGUAAAAAACCAUUUUCAACCCUCUUCUCUUCGGAGGAGAGGGGUUUUAUUGCGGCAACGCAACCGAAUUCGGAGACGCCGGUGGGAGCCCUGGGAAGAGUUAUCUUUUCUUUUUAACGCAGCAGAAUACCCUGGAAUCAGAUUACCUGGAGAAAGGGUAUAAUGCUCGGCAAAGCACUGCAAUUUUUCGUGGUGUCCGGUGCGCUCUCAAAGGCCCUUGAAAAUCCGAAGGAGAGAAUAAUUUUCGUUUCUGGUCGUACUGAUAACCGCAGCAGGUCUCCAAGGUGAACAGCCUCUAGUUGAUAGAACAAUGUAGGUAAGGGAAGUCGGCAAAAUAGAUCCGUAACUUCGG